GAUGAACGCUGGCGGCGUGCUUAACACAUGCAAGUCGAACGGAAAGGCCCAAGCUUGCUUGGGUGCUCGAGUGGCGAACGGGUGAGUAACACGUGGGUGAUCUGCCCUGCACUUUGGGAUAAGCCUGGGAAACUGGGUCUAAUACCGGAUAGGACCAUCGUUUAGUGUCGGUGGUGGAAAGUUUUUCGGUGUGGGAUGAGCUCGCGGCCUAUCAGCUUGUUGGUGGGGUAAUGGCCUACCAAGGCGUCGACGGGUAGCCGGCCUGAGAGGGUGUACGGCCACAUUGGGACUGAGAUACGGCCCAGACUCCUACGGGAGGCAGCAGUGGGGAAGAUUGCACAAUGGGCGCAAGCCUGAUGCAGCGACGCCGCGGGGGGGAUGACGGCCUUCGGGUUGUAAACGCCUUUCGCCAAGGACGAAGCGUUUUGUGACGGUACUUGGAGAAGAAGCACCGGCUAACUACGUG
rnacentral:rRNA from 1 species